UGGUGUGUGUCGACUGGGAGCUAUAGCAGCGGGUGGUGGCACGUCCGAGGGGUGAGAGGGGCUGUCGGCAUGCCAUCACCCUCCGUGCUGCUCUUCCCAAGAAGGCCAUGGCCCCUGCAAUGUCCUUUGUUUGUUAACUGCUUCUUUAAGAGUGUGGGGCUGCUGUUAAGUAGGUCCAUAAACAGAGCAACUGGUGCUCAAAUAUGGCUGUUUGCUGCCUGACAGAGCAUGUGGACGAACACAGCUGUGCUGUGGCGAACUUCUGAACUGCAGAUGAGUGAAUGAGACGGACAGAGAGCUGCGACGUGUCUGACCACAAAGAUUUCUCACUUCACGCUGGAGUAAAGGCUUUUCGAAGGGGCUCCUGUGUAGUCAGAUGGCGAUAGAACCGUAGCAGAGCUAGCAGCUCCUGGAAGUGAAGUAAAACUACUUCCCAGAAUGUGUUGGUAAGCCAACUUUUAGUCAAAUUUGAUAAAACCUUAUGAUUAUAUUCUGGUCCUAACUAGUAAUGGGUUUACUGCCUCUGUAUUUAUUGUCUGUCUAAGAGACAAGAGAAGAAAAACACAUGUGACUGACAUCCAACAUUGUACUUUUUCAAAGAACUUUAUUUUUUAUUUCAAUAACAACAAACAUUUCCAAAACUGCCAUGCAUAGUCUUAUCAUGCCAUUUCAUUUGGUCCCACUGUUCAGUUUGGAGAGACACAGGAGGGAAUAAGACUGGGAAAAUAAUAAAUAAGAACAAAUGAUGGGAACAGAAAUUUGUCACGAACAGCAAAAAUGCACAAAAAAAGAGAGAGAGAAAUUGACCACCACACCAUUUAUAAUAUACACUAAGCUCUGUUUGUUUGAUUAUCUGAGCAUGAUAGUCCUUAUGAAAGCUGUUUAAACUCCAGUAAUACAAUUUAUAAUGCACCACUUCUGUAAAAGCUAUCAAAUGUCCUUUUUUUAAUAGUUAAUAAAGAAAAAUAACAAAAUUUGCUUAAUUCAUGCCAAAAAAUUUACAAAAACUUUCACCCUCAAAUAUAUGAUAAAAUGUUUUAAUUCAUGGUCAUAUAUAAGAGUCAUCAAAUGUAUUGCACCCUUUUACCUUUACAGAUCUUUUUUACAAUAAAAAUGUUUUCUAUUUUUAAUGUUGAUCUUUCUAAUUUUCUCGCUGUUGGAUUUGCGCUGGCAUGAAAAC